rnacentral:rRNA from 1 species
UACGUAGGUGGCAAGCGUUGUCCGGAUUUAUUGGGCGUAAAGAGCUCGUAGGCGGUCUGUCGCGUCGAAUGUGAAAACCCGGGGCUCAACCCCGGGCCUGCAUUCGAUACGGGCAGACUAGAGUUCGGUAGGGGAGUCUGGAAUUCCUGGUGUAGCGGUGAAAUGCGCAGAUAUCAGGAGGAACACCGGUGGCGAAGGCGGGACUCUGGGCCGAUACUGACGCUGAGGAGCGAAAGCGUGGGGAGCAAACAGG